rnacentral:lncRNA from 1 species
AAAAUUCUCAAUAAAUAAGCCUCGUUGCUAUUUAUAUCCAGUAAGUAAAACUCCGGGAUACCAGCAUUAAGUAUUUUCUACCUGGUAACAAAAAAACACAUAAAACCAAAUCAGAGCCGCCAAAAUGGAAGCCUAUCAUAAUUUAGUUAAGAAUCCAAAUCACCGCCAUUAUUCCACAAUGAACUGAUCAAAGUUUCGACAUACCAGUCAUAAAGUUUUUCAUUUCUCUCAUGCAAAAAUUAAAAUAGCUCAACAAAUGAAGUCAGAACCUGAACAAUGGAAAUUUGUCAAGAAAUAAGUGACAAGAACUUAUCUUAUUAGCGGCAUGAUUUAAUAAUCAAUUGAUCACUUUCAUAUGAAUUAUAAAUAUUUUAGAGCAUGUUCUUCCUAUACAUAAUAGUAGAGUUGGUACAAAAUUUAGUAACCUUUUAAAAUCUUCAAGUAUCAAUCCUGAAAUUCAAUAGUACUACCUAACAACCCGAACUUCUUUUCGGAAGUGAUAUACAUACGGAGGGAGUACUACCUAAUAAAUUUGAAGUAGUAUACAAAUUCAGCCUAUGUGCUAAGAUUUUUUUUCUGCACAUCGCCCUGGUUCACUUUCAGUUACACUCAUGGUUAGGCCGCCAUCAACCGGC